rnacentral:rRNA from 1 species
GACGAACGCUGGCGGCGUGCCUAUUACAUGCAAGUCGAGCGGACAGAAGGGAGCUUGCUCCCGGAAGUUAGCGGCGGACGGGUGAGUAACACGUGGGCAACCUACCCUGUAGAUCGGGAUAACAUCGAGAAAUCGGUGCUAAUACCGGAUAAUCAUUUGAAGUGCAUGCUUCGAAUGUAAAAGAUGGCUCCGGCUAUCACUACGGGAUGGGCCCGCGGCGCAUUAGCUAGUUGGUAAGGUAAUGGCUUACCAAGGCAACGAUGCGUAGCCGAACUGAGAGGGUGGUGGGCCACACUGGGACUGGGAGACGGCCCAGACUCCUACGGGAGGCAGCAGGAGGGAAUCUUCCGCAAUGGACGAAAGUCUGACGGGGCAACGCCGCGUGAGUGAGGAGGGUUUUCGGAUCGUAAAGCUCUGUUGUUAGGGAAGAACAAGUGCCGUUUGAAUAAGGCGGCACCUUGACGGUACCUAACCAGAAAGCCACGGCUAACUACGUGCCAGCCGCCGCGGUAACAC